CAGUAGCCGCGGUAAUACGGAGGAUCCAAGCGUUAUCCGGAUUUAUUGGGUUUAAAGGGUGCGUAGGUGGCCUGUUAAGUCAGGGGUGAAAGACGGUAGCUUAACUAUCGCAGUGCCCUUGAUACUGAUGGGCUUGAAUGAACUAGAGGUAGGCGGAGUGUGACAAGUAGCGGUGAAAUGCAUAGAUAUGUCACAGAACACCAAUUGCGAAGGCAGCUUACUAUGGUUUUAUUGACACUGAGGCACGAAAGCGUGGGGAUCAAACAGGAUUAGAUACCCGAGUAGUCCCUGUCUUUAUACA
rnacentral:rRNA from 1 species